rnacentral:rRNA from 1 species
UACGUAGGGGGCAAGCGUUGUCCGGAAUCAUUGGGCGUAAAGAGCGUGUAGGCGGCCCGGUAAGUCCGCUGUGAAAGUCCAGGGCUCAACCCUGGGAUGCCGGUGGAUACUGUCGGGCUCGAGUCCGGAAGAGGAGUGUGGAAUUCCUGGUGUAGCGGUGAAAUGCGCAGAUAUCAGGAGGAACACCAAUGGCGAAGGCAGCACUCUGGGACGUGACUGA